AUACGGGGGGUGCAAACGUUGCUCGGAAUCAUAGGGCGUAAAGCGUACGUAGGCGGACUAUUAAGUCUGAUGUGAAAGCCCGGGGCUCAACCUCGGAAUGCCAUUGGAAACUGAUAGUCUUGAGAAUAGGAGGGGUAAGUGGUAUUUCUGGUGUAGGGGUGAAAUCCGUAGAGAUCAGAAGGAACACCGGUGGCGAAGGCGACUUACUGGACUAUUUCUGACGCUGAUGUACGAAAGCAUGGGGAGCAAACAGGAUUAGAAACCCUAGUAGUCC
rnacentral:rRNA from 1 species